GGUUGAUUACCUGAUGUGUUUCAGCUGUGCCUCCCUCCCUGCUCGUUUACCAGUGUAUAUAUUGUCCUCAGUUGUCUUCAGUCCUUGUCAUGUCCUUGCGUCUAUGUUUUCUGGAUUUCCCUGGAUUUCUGGUUUGUUCCCCCGUUUUGGGUUACUCUGUCUUUGUGUUGGAUUUACCUUCUUCUGCAUUAUCUUUGUUUGGACUUUUGGACCAAGCUUCCAGGCUGUGUCCCUGUGGAAUGAAGACCUGCCUACUUCCUGGUUUGUGGGUGCUGACAUCAGUCCUGCCCAUUGGUUCAUCUGUUUCCACUCAACCAAUGGCUCGUCACCACAUUGAUUACCUCCUGCUCAUAAGGGUAGUCCACCUGUUGCUCCGGGCAGCUUGUCACUGCCAAUUUACUUGUGUGCUGCGGGUAUUGACUGCAUACUUUGCUUGUUAGCUGUACAUUGUGUUAAGUGGAACAAUUUGCAUGCCUUGUUAGCUCUACAUUGUGCGCAGUGGAGAAAUUCACUUAGUAAUUUUGUUUACUAUUGUGUUAGUUUUCAUCAGGUGGAGUGGGUGCUGUGCUCUGUGUUCUUUUUGUAGCAAGAAUCAACUCUGCUUAAAUAGAUGGGUACAGGCCUCCUUUUGAGGACCUUUUUUUAUUUUAACUUGGUUUGUUGUUUUCGCAGCACCCUCAUCCACCCUCCUUUUGUUUGUUGUUACCUGUCAGCAUCUCCGUGUUACCAAUAAAAGUUACCUUUUUUAAGAC